rnacentral:rRNA from 1 species
UUUUGUUGGAGAGUUUGAUCCUGGCUCAGGACGAACGCUGGCGGCGUGCUUAACACAUGCAAGUCGAGCGGAAAGGCCCUUCGGGGUACUCGAGCGGCGAACGGGUGAGUAACACGUGAGUAACCUGCCCUGGACUUUGGGAUAACCCUCGGAAACGGGGGCUAAUACCGAAUACAACCUCUCACUGCAUGGUGUGGGGGUGGAAAGUUUUUCGGUCUGGGAUGGGCUCGCGGCCUAUCAGCUUGUUGGUGGGGUGAUGGCCUACCAAGGCGACGACGGGUAG